CCCUAUUGCCCAAAUACCCUGAAGGCAGCAGAUCCUAUAUGAUCUUGGAAACUAAGCACAGUCUGGCCUGGUAAGGACUUGGAAGGGAAACCACCAAGGAGUAGUAGGUACUGCAGGCU
rnacentral:rRNA from 11 species